rnacentral:rRNA from 1 species
UACGAAGGGGGCUAGCGUUGUUCGGAAUUACUGGGCGUAAAGCGCACGUAGGCGGAUAUUUAAGUCAGGGGUGAAAUCCUGGAGCUCAACUCCAGAACUGCCUUUGAUACUGGGGAGCUCGAGUCCGGAAGAGGUGAGUGGAACUCCGAGUGUAGAGGUGAAAUUCGUAGAUAUUCGGAAGAACACCAGUGGCGAAGGCGGCUCACUGGUCCGGUACUGACGCUGAGGUGCGAAAGCGUGGGGAGCAAACAGGG